AGUGUUGAGCCGGGAUUUAGCGGGUUACUUUGAUGUGGUAACGUUCGAGGGUUUUAACCUCUCCAGCACUU
rnacentral:tRNA from 1 species